rnacentral:rRNA from 1 species
AUUGAACGCUAGCGGGAUGCUUUACACAUGCAAGUCGAACGAGUGGCGGACGGGUGAGUAAUAUAUCGGAACGUGCCCAGUAGCGGGGGAUCGCUACUGGACAGAGUGGCUGAUAACGCCUACUAUUGGAGCGGCCGAUAUCGGAUUAGCUAGUGGGUGGGGUAAAGGCUCACCAAGGCCACGAUCCGUAGCUGGUGUGAGAGGAUGACCAGUCACACUGGGACUGAGACACGGCCCAGACUCCUACGGGAGGCAGCAGUGGGGAAUUUUGGACAAUGGGGGAAACCCUGAUCCAGCCAUCCCGCGUGUAUGAGAAGGCCUUCGGGUUGUAAAGUACUUUUGGCAGAGAAGCGGUAUCUGCAGAAUAAGCACCGGCUAACUACGUGCCAGCAGCCGCGGUAAUAC